rnacentral:rRNA from 1 species
UGGGGAAUUUUCCGCAAUGGGGGGAACCCUGACGGAGCAACGCCGCGUGCGGGAGGACGGCCUGUGGGUUGUAAACCGCUUUUCUCUAGGAAGAAGGUCUGACGGUACUAGAGGAAUCAGCAUCGGCUAACUCCGUGCCAGCAGCCGCGGUAAGACGGAGGAUGCAAGCGUUAUCCGGAAUUAUUGGGCGUAAAGCGUCCGUAGGCGGUUCAUCAAGUCAGUUGUUAAAGACUGCAGCUCAACUGUGGGCGAGCAACUGAAACUGAUGAACUAGAGUGCGGUAGGGGUAGAGGGAAUUCCAGGUGUAGCGGUGAAAUGCGUAGAUAUUGGGAAGAACACCAGUGGCGAAGGCGCUCUACUGGGCCAUGACUGACACUCAGAGACGAAAGCUAAGGUAGCGAAUGGGAUUAGAUACCCCUGUAGUCC